rnacentral:rRNA from 1 species
UACGGGGGGGAGCAAGCGUUGUUCGGAUUUACUGGGCGUAAAGGGCGCGUAGGCGGCGUAACAAGUCACUUGUGAAAUCCCCGGGCUUAACCUGGGAACUGCAUUUGUGACUGCAUGGCUGGAGUGCGGCAGAGGGGGAUGGAAUUCCGCGUGUAGCAGUGAAAUGCGUAGAUAUGCGGAGGAACACCGAUGGCGAAGGCAAUCCCCUGGGCCUGCACUGACGCUCAUGCACGAAAGCGUGGGGAGCAAACAGG